AUAAUCAUAGUUACAUUUCCCUUUUCCAUUCCCUUCUCCCUCCCCCUCCCUGUUGACAACUUAAACCUUAUUUUCUUGUUACAUGAACCUUCUUUCCAUUCUUUCCAAUUUUUGGAAAUAACCACCGCAGUAGCAUCUGUUCAUGGCUUGAAUUUAUAGCAAGGAAAUCCACUUAGCUCCUUAAGAAUAAUUAUUUGCCGUGGCCAACAUUUUCUUCGGAAAACAAAGCAACCCAAUUGCAUUUCAGGAAAUCUUCAGCAAAGAGUGGCUUUUGCGGAUGGAUGUGUGUCAUCUUCGGGCUGCUGCCAAGACUUUUGUCUGCUGCAUCGCCAUCUGUGAGUCAACGUUUUCGAGUCUCACUCGGAUCGAUCAGCUGCAGAGACUUGCCAUGACUCAGAGGGGAGAACUGCUGAACUGCUGAGCUGUUGAACUUGCUGAUUGAAAGGUCGGUGGUUCGAAUCCGGGGAGCGGAGUGAGCUCCUGCUGUUAGCCCCAGCUUCUGUCAACCCAGCAGUUUGAAAACAUGCAAACGUGAGUAGAUCAAUAGGUACCGCUCCAACGGGAAGGUAACUAUGCUCUAUGCAGUCAUGCUGGCUAUAGGACCUUGGAGGUGUCUAUGGACAACGCCGACUCUUCGGCUUAGAAAUGGAGAUAAGCAUCAACCCCCAGAUUCGGACACAACUAGACUUAAUGUCAGUGCAAAUCCUUUACCUUAGUUUUUUCUGCCAAAUAGUACUGGUGCCUUCCCAAACUACAUUUUCCAGAAUCCCCUGCAGCGUGGAUGGAUUGGACAGAGAGGCCAAAGUGGAAGGAUUCUUGAAAGUGAAAAGUUUCCUGGGAAAGUUUUCCUGGUUCUAUUCAAAAGGUCUGGAAUACAAUUAUGGAAUGAAAUCAUGGACCAAAGUCUGACGCUUCUUGCUCAGAGGAUUGUUGUGAUUUUUCCGGGCUGUAUGGCCAUGUUCCAGAAGCAUUCUCUCCUGACAUUUCGUGCACAUCUAUGGCAGGCAUCCUCUGAGGUUGUGAGGUAUAUUAGAAAAACUAAGCAAGGAAGGUUUAUAUAUCUGUGGAAGGUCCAGGUUUGGAGGAAGAAAUUUUCCAUGAACAGGGAACAAGCCUUCAGCCACGAAUGCAGUUUGGCCAUGUAAACAUGUUAGUGUUAUUGGCUUCCCUGUCACCAUCUGGAUGGAAAUGGCAUGGCCUGCAGUGCCCAUGCUGAUUUGACACUCUGAAAAUUCUAUAAAACACCUCUUUGGGAUCUUUCUGAAAGAAAAAGUCAUUUGACAAUUCAAGAUUUUUAUGACAGCGUAAUUAGAGUUUGUGCGUGGCCGUAAAAACCCAAUUUGCAGCAAAGAUGGCUAAGCUGAUUUAGGGCCAGAUCUGAACUUCCUAUUUAUCCUUUAAUCCAAGUCCUAUUGAUUUCACUGCCCAGCUUUGAAGUUUUUAGCUAGGAUCUCAAUGGAACAGCUGCUGGGUGAUGGCUUGCUUAUUUGUUUGCUUUGUUUGUUUUCCCUUUCUUACUGCAAAUGGAGUUUCUGAAGGAGCAAAUGUGGAUCAAGGAUGCUCUGUGAGCGUUGGGUGUAAGUGGCCUCUGAAGCCAACUGUAGCAUUUACUGAAUGCACGAACGAAAGCAAAUCUGUCACUUCGUUCUGUGCAUUUUCCAUUUCAACAGGCCGGGCUGUGGCGCAGGUGGUUAGCAGCCAGCUGCAAUAAAUCACUACUGACCGAGAAGUCAUGAGUUCGAAGCCAGCCCACAUCUGAUUGAGCGCCCAACCAUUAAAAAUAGCCUAGCUCAUUGUUGACUUAAGCAACCCGAAAGGCAGUUGCAUCUGUCAAGUAGGAAAUUUAGGUACAGCUUUAUGCGGGGAGGCUAAUUUAGCUAUUUUAUGAUACCAUAAAAAGGUCCAGCAGCGUGUGGAAGAAUGAGGAAGUACUCCAUCAAGGACUCGGUGUCAGAGUGGAUUUCCAGAAUUGAGCAUACCUACAUGAAGCCAGAAGCUGGAAAAUGUUAAAUUGCCUCUGUGUCUCUGUCUCUGUCUGUAUGUCAUAUGUCUAAUGGAAUUGAAUGUUUGCCAUGUAUAUGUACAUUGUGAUCCACCCUGAGUCUCCUUUGGGGUGAGAAAGAAGGACUGAAUAUAAAUACUAUAAAUAAAUAUAAAUAGUAUAAGUAAAUAAAUAAAUGAAUAAAUAAAGUAUUCUCUGCUGAUGAGUCUUCUCCA